AACAUGACUCUCGGCAACGGAUAUCUCGGCUCUCGCAUCGAUGAAGAACGUAGCGAAAUGCGAUACCUGGUGUGAAUUGCAGAAUCCCGCGAACCAUCGAGUCUUUGAACGCAAGUUGCGCCCGAGGCCACUUGGCCGAGGGCACGCCUGCCUGGGCGUCACGC
rnacentral:rRNA from 1 species